rnacentral:rRNA from 1 species
AUGAAGCUUCUCCCGGCCGUCCUCGGCCUCGCCCUCCUCCUCCUCGUCCUGUGUCCCAAUGGCGUGGAGGCCCGGCCUGCGCCUACCCGUGGUCAUGAGAAGAAGCUGUCGAGGGCCACCUUCUUUGUCUUCGGGGAUGACUUCGCUGACAACGGGAACCUCCCUCUGACCGAACCCCUCACCGAGAUGUCGCGGCAAUGGGCUUACACCUACGGCUCCAACUACGUCGAUGCCGAUGGCUUUCCGCGGCCGAAUACCCCGUCCGGCCGCUUCUCAAACUACAAGAUCCAGGCAGAUUUCAUCGCAACAAUGUUGGGGUUGGAGGAAGCCCCUCCAACACAUGCCCGUACAGCGGAGAAAACCUGCGACCCGUCCGGCAUGACUUUUGCUACGGGUGGCGCAACCGUGUUUGAUAGUACAUCACAUGAGGUUCCCACCUUUACCAAGCAAAUUAAUGCUUAUAUUGGGAAAAUGAUAAAAGAGAUGGCAGCUAAUGUGGAGCAAUUGUUGAAGCUCUGGGUGAGAAAGGUUCUUGUCAACAACUUGCAUCCUGUCGGUUGCACGCCAUCACAAACCCGAACUAACAACUACACCACGUGCUAUAUUUUUGAAAACUUGGGUGCUUCCAUCCAUAACAAUAACCUGAAACAAGUUAUGACAGCAAAGAAGAAUGUCCACUUCGUCGAUCUGUACACCACAUUCAUUAAUAUUGUGGAUCAUGUGCCAGGUAAAGGCUCAGAGCUAUCGAAGCAAUUCAAGCGCAAACUAUCGCCGUGUUGCGAGAGUUUAGAUUCGAAGGGUUACUGUGGGCAGCAAGGUGAGUUGUCCACAGAGCUUCUUUGCACAGUGUGCAACAAGUCCAAUAAAUUUUUCUAUUGGGACGACAUGCACCCGACGCACGCGGGAUGGGAGGCUGUCAUGAAACAAUUGGAAAAGCCCUUGAGGGUGUUUUUAGAUCAAGACUAG